rnacentral:rRNA from 13 species
GCGAACGUCCAUACCAUGUUGAAUACACCGGUUCUCAUCCGAUCACCGAAGUUAAGCAGCAUCGGGCGUGGUUAGUAGCUGGAUGGGGUAGCAGAAAAUGCUUCAAGUCCAAA